CCUGGCUUAACGAGUCAGAAGAAAUACCGUUGACCUGAACCAGAAGGUAGGAGAAGACAAUUGCUGGUGUACAGCCAUCUAGAAGGGAGAGGAGGAGAGAUGGCUGGCUCAGCGAUUAAGAGCACUGACUACUCUUCCAGAGGUCCUGAGUUCAAUUCCCAGCAACCACAUGGUGGCUCACAACCAUCUGUAAUGGGAUCCAAUGCCCUCUUCUGCUUACAGGAUACAUGCUUCAAAAUACUCCGUGAGUGGGUGAUAUGACCUAGAAUCUCCAGGGAUUAAAGGCAUACACUCCUACAGCCUGUCAAGUCAAAGAAGUUUUAUUUGCAAAUUCUGUGGUUCUGUAUAUAAGAGACCAUAAAGACUCCACCUGAGAACUCUCAAAUACUAAUGAACACUUCCAGCAAGUAUAGAAGGAUACAUUACCAUACACAACAUGUAGCAUUUCUACUA
rnacentral:lncRNA from 1 species